rnacentral:lncRNA from 1 species
GAAUCCUCAGAGUGUGGCAACGGGUAGCAGCUUCAGCAGGAGCUUGACCCCCCCAGUGAUGAUUAGGUUGAUCGACUCACAGCAGCCACCUGGCACCCCCGGCCAGCCAGGGGAGGGCAGGAGCCAGGGCCGCUCCCUCAGACAGGUAUAAAAGGGUGUCACGGGCAAGGAGAGAGCUUUUGGGACCAAGGUGCGAUCUCUGGGAACCUGUGACUUGUUAAAGCUGCCAGACCGAGGAAAGGGGGUGCUUCAGGUGGCAGCGGCCCAUCAGUGCUGUCCUCAGGAGCUCUCGGCUGCCCUGGACUUUCUCCAGGAGCGUGGGAACAAGUUCAGCCAGACAUGACUGAGAAGCAGUCCAGAAAUACCCUAUGGACAGAAAGGAUAAGGGCAAGGUUGCUGUUUGGGGGCUUUGGACUCGUUCCCAUCUGCUGUCAAGGCAUCUCCAGCAGGACUAGCAUGUAAAGUGAAGGAGCUCUCAGAGUGAUUGCAAAGUGGCACCAUUUCGGCAGAGGGAGAGCUGGGAUGGACACUGGGAGGGAAGGAUGGGAGCCAGGACCCACGCAGCCCACAUCCCGCGGAGCUGCCCCGUGCUGUGAUGUCUCACCACACCAGCCUCCAUCCUCGUUUCACCUCUCCUGUAGGAAUGCUCUGAAAGCUGAAGGGAAGGGCUGGGCCCGUACCUAUCAAAGAGCCUGCCCCAGCGCUGUCACCAGGCCAUGCCUUACCUCUGUCUCCGUCUGCCGUAAUCUCACCAUCAGGACCUCAGCUGCCUCCCUGCUGAUGGCACCGCCUUACAUGACACAGAUAGAGCGAGACUCGUGUGAUGCCAGGAAGGUGAUGGGGCAGGAGCCAGAAGAGAGCUGGAGUUUAGUUCUUAUCCUUUUCUUUCUUUCUCCUACAAGAACAACCAGAGAUGUAAGCUUCAGUAGUUGAAAGGAUGACUUGGCACAGGAAAUAACCAAAUACAAUGUCUCAUGUUAAUCAAAAACCUGUGAUAAAAGAACAGUACAGUCUGUUACUCAUAAUUAGUCCUAUCUUGAACUAUGGAGGCUAACAAUAUCCAAAACAGCAAUUUUAACUCCAGAACAGUGAGCCAUCACAAUAUGCAGCACAGUAGGAGAGAGAACUGCUCACUGCCUGCCAGCUCCGUCCCUACUCCUGCAUUUCUUAAAUGAACAUUGCACCUUCUGUUGCCGCACAUCAGCCCCUCAUCUACCAGUCCUCUGCUCUUCCCACAGCCAGCGGGGUGCUGGUGCCCAUGCCGAGGCAGAACACAAACACCAAGCCAAAGCCAUGCAUGAAGAACGUCCUUCUCCUCGGGGAGCAGCCAGUAGUGGGAAAUGCCAAAGAAAAGCAGCUCCAGGUAUUUCCCUUCUGGGUUUGCAACACUCACCCAGAAACCUAAAUAUCAACAUUGCUGGUAACAGCUUUCUAACACAAAGAAGAAACCAGUGAGCAAGGAUCUUGCAGUGGAAGAAAUGUGAUGUACUUUGAAAUAUUCUGCACAGAACGCAAUCUUCAAAACCAUCAUUUUUGUCUCUACUUGAAAAUUACAGUCUCUGCUUUUGAAUUAUUAGAUGAAGAAACAAGAACCAGCAUUUGUGUGAUGACUGAGAGAUUUCUCUACAAUGUACAAAAUGAAAAUUCAUUACAGGCAUAAUGCAACAACAAAGAAAGCAAAUGUACAGACUUGGGUAAAUGGAAAACACAUUCAGCAAAAAGAAACAUUAUGCAUUUAGUGGAAAAUGACACGGUAAGGUGUCUCUGCACACUUCAAAUGAGAACUGCGUUAAUUCCUUUCAGAGCUGCUUUGUUCCUGUAGUUUGGUAGCAGAGGUACUUCACCUGCUAACAGUGGCACUCGUUCUGAAACCCUGCAUGGUUCUUACGGAAAAUACAAGCACACGGCAGUGCAGCAGUGGCGGCAGAUGGCA